GCCCGGUUAGCUCAAUCGGUAGAGCGUGUGGCUGUAAGUUACCAUUGCAUCCAGCAAUCAGUCGAUCUCCCACUAAUUCCUUCUCAGUUUAUAAAAUGCACACCUCAAGGUUGCGAGUUCGAGCCUCGCAUCGGGCG